rnacentral:lncRNA from 1 species
AGACAGGAGGUAAAGGAACCCUGGCAAGCAUGGGGAUUCUCUUCAGUCCCCACUAAGCAGGCUCCUGUUCGGUGAGGUGUGUGACUGGAUUUAAUGUUGUCCGGAUAAAGGAUUUUCUUUGACAAGAGAAGAUGCCCUUUGAGAGUCACUGAACUUCCAAGGCCUGGCCCUAUCCCUUUGAAUCACAAUAUCUGAAUUCUAAUCUCCAAUCUUCUAUUUAUUAAUUUUUUCAAAUAUCUUUUCUAUAUUGCGCAGUCUGCCCAUGCAGAAUUGACCAGCGGUUCAUGUGCAUAACAGAAUCCUCCACCUAAAUUUAGAAAUUGGUAAAUAAAACAAAGAUAGGAGACUCAAAGUCUGCA